AACACUCCGGAAUCCCUAGUGAAACUAUUAAAUACAAACAACUGCCACUGUAAUGCUAAAUUUCAGGCAAAUCUUAUGAAAACAAAGAUCAGAAGCCGACUGUAAACCAACACAUUGACGGUAGCACCUCUUGCCUCAGAAUGUAUUAAAGAGGGUCCAGAAAACAAUGGCACACGCGUAACUUUUCAUCCAGCACAUGAAAUGAUCCAGAAAAUGACUUUGGCUUCUCUGUACAAAACGAAAAAGGAAGAAGAGGAAGGGGACUUCGAAUUCGAGUCACAGCAAGCUGUUCUCGCCCGUGAUCGGGGACCGCUCACAUGCGUGCGGGACACCGUCUUGGUUGUGUGCUGUGACUGGGCACCCGACUGCGGCGAGCUUGUGGGCACGUGAAGUGACCAGCUGGGGCGUGACGUCAUGAGGACCUACAGCUGCACUCCAAUCCCAUCUCGGAUAUGGCAGUUCGUGAAAACGCUCUAGUUCUAAUUUAAUCCACAUGAAAUUAG